CCAAUAGCGUAUAUUAAAGUUGUUGCAGUUAAAAAGCUCGUAGUUGAAUUUCGGGAUCUGUCCAUUGGUCGGGCCUCACGGUCCGUACUGGUGAGAUGGGUUCCUACCUUCUGAAUAACCGGCAUGCCAUUUAGUUGGUGCGCCGGGGAAGCAGAGCUAUUACCUUGAAAAAAUUAGAGUGCUUAAAGCAGGCUAUUGCUUGAAUAGAUUAGCAUGGAAUAAUAAAAUAGGACGGCAUGGUUCUAUUUUGUUGGUUUCUAGGAUCACCGUAAUGAUUAAUAGGGAUAGUUGGGGGCAUUAGUAUUCAAUUGUCAGAGGUGAAAUUCUUGGAUUUAUUGAAGACUAACUUCUGCGAAAGCAUUUGCCAAGGAUGUUUUCAUUAAUCAAGAACGAAAGUUAGGGGAUCGAAGACGAUCAGAUACCGUCGUAGUCUUAACCAUAAACUAUGCCGACUAGGGAUCGGACGAUGUUAAUUUUUUAAUGACUCGUUCGGCGCCUUACG
rnacentral:rRNA from 1 species